GCCUUCGUGGUGUAACGGUUAGCACACUCGGCGCGUAUUCGAGAGGUCCAGGUUCGAGUCCUGGCGAGGGCA
rnacentral:tRNA from 1 species